UACGUAGGUGACAAGCGUUGUCCGGAUUUACUGGGCGUAAAGAGCGCGCAGGCGGUCGAUCAAGUCGAGUGUGAAAGCCCCCGGCUCAACUGGGGAGGGUCAUUCGAUACUGAUCGACUCGAAGGCAGGAGAGGGUAGUGGAAUUCCCGGUGUAGUGGUGAAAUGCGUAGAUAUCGGGAGGAACACCAGUGGCGAAGGCGGCCAGCUGGGCCGUCCCUGACACUGAGGCGCGAAGGCGUGGGGAGCGAACGGG
rnacentral:rRNA from 1 species